UACGUAGGUGGCAAGCGUUGUCCGGAAUUAUUGGGCGUAAAGCGCGCGCAGGCGGUCCCUUAAGUCUGAUGUGAAAGCCCACGGCUCAACCGUGGAGGGUCAUUGGAAACUGGGGAACUUGAGAACUGAAGAGGAGAGUGGAAUUCCACGUGUAGCGGUGAAAUGCGUAGAGAUGUGGAGGAACACCCGUGGCGAGGGCGACUUUCUGGUCUGUAACUGACGCUGAGGCGCGAAAGCGUGGGGAGCAAACAGG
rnacentral:misc_RNA from 1 species